GACCCUAUAACUCAGUCGGUUAGAGUGUGGAGCUAAUACGAUCGUGUUACUCCAAAGUCGCCAGUUCGAGCCUGGUUAGGGUCA
rnacentral:tRNA from 2 species